UACUAGCCCAAUGCUCUUCCAACUGAGCUACGCGGUCAGGACGGUUCGAGUACCGCGUAGCUCAGUUGGAAGAGCAUUGGGCUAGUA